GAUGAACGCUGGCGGCGUGCCUAAUACAUGCAAGUCGAGCGAACAGAUGAGGAGCUUGCUCCUCUGACGUUAGCGGCGGACGGGUGAGUAACACGUGGAUAACCUACCUAUAAGACUGGGAUAACUUCGGGAAACCGGAGCUAAUACCGGAUAAUAUAUUGAACCGCAUGGUUCAAUAGUGAAAGACGGUUUUGCUGUCACUUAUAGCUGGAUCCGCGCCGCAUUAGCUAGUUGGUAAGGUAACGGCUUACCAAGGCGACGAUGCGUAGCCGACCUGAGAGGGGGGUCGGCCGCACGGGAACGGAGACACGGUCAAGAGUCCUACGGGAGGCAGCAGUAGGGAAUCUUCCGCAAUGGGCGAAAGCCUGACGGAGCAACGCCGCGUGAGUGAUGAAGGUCUUCGGAUCGUAAAACUCUGUUAUUAGGGAAGAACAAAUGUGUAAGUAACUAUGCACGUCUUGACGGUACCUAAUCAGAAAGCCACGGCUAACUACGUG
rnacentral:rRNA from 1 species